rnacentral:rRNA from 1 species
CGGACGGGUGAGUAACGCGUGAGGAACCUGCCUUGGAGUGGGGAAUAACAGUUGGAAACGACUGCUAAUACCGCAUAAGCCCACGGGUCGGCAUCGACCAGAGGGAAAAGGAGCAAUCCGCUUUGAGAUGGCCUCGCGUCCGAUUAGCUAGUUGGUGAGGUAAUGGCCCACCAAGGCGACGAUCGGUAGCCGGACUGAGAGGUUGAACGGCCACAUUGGGACUGAGACACGGCCCAGACUCCUACGGGAGGCAGCAUG